rnacentral:lncRNA from 1 species
ACAAAACCGUUUGGUUCUAGACUUCCUUACUUUAUAUUUCUUUCGAAGGCUUUUGCAGAAAAGAUCUUCCUUCCCUGUGGAUUCGAUCCCUAAGUACUACAAUCGAUCAACUGUGCACUUGCAGCUAUUGAUUUCAUUUAAGGUAAAACUUGACAACCCUCAACACGACAACACAUCAUUAACCCAACUUUUCUCAGAACCAUAUCUGACAGACUCAUACUCAACAAAUUUCUGACCCUCCUAUCUUUUUCCAGUUUCUUGGGGUCAGGAGGUGUAUCGCCGGUGUCCACUGCUUUACUUUUUGGGUCUCCAGUUGACGCCUCACCAUCACCAUCUAUCUGCAGCACUGAAUCGAGACCCAAAAUUUCUAACUGAGCCAAGAUCCGAUGAAUCCAUAUGGCAUAGUCCCCUUCUCCGUCGAACUUGUCCACUUCCCAUCUGCCUUGAGUGGGUUCCAUUCUUGUCCUCUGACUUGGAUCUGAUCAAAGAAAGAGAUCACCACAGAGAACCACAUACUCACUCCAACACCAGCAAUCAACACACAGGUACUUUACCACCACGACACAGAUUCCCAGCGAGUACUUCAACGGAAAAAUAUCCGAGACUUUAAGAGUAAAACACUUAGACUCAAACCAAAUAGGAUCCGAUAUCUGGUGAGGCUAAUCACACGGUUUUACUGCCUUUGAGCUCCACCUAGACUUGUAAAGCUUCAACCUUUACACUCGGAAGACUCCUUAUAGAAGAAAGCUUCAAGCUUUGACACAAAGCUUCUUUUUACAACCACAACGCUUCCAAAACCCGGAAAGGUUCAAACUUUACCACCAAGCUCCAAACUUUGUCACUAAAACCUGGGCUCUGAUACCAUUGUAACAAGUUUGUAGCUCCUUUUUGGUAUUUUUCCCUUAGGUCCUUUUUAGAUUUGAGUAUAGUUUUGCUUGUGCCUUAAGUUGUUUGCUUUGUUAGUGCAGAAAAUAAAGACACGGGAGUUUUACGACUUCCCACGCCAAGACCGGCAGUGGUACGUCUCGGUGAGCUUUAACCCUGCUCACAAGAGUAUCAAAAGAAAGGCUUUACAAGUGAUUCACACACACACCCCAGCUCACACCUCUCACCGUACAGAGUAACCCCAAGAAGAGAUAAUGAAACCAAGAAGACGAUGAAGAAC